UAGCAUAAAUUCCCCUGUAUCUUCCUCCACUCACUUCAUCUGGUUCAAACUAACUACUAAUAUGCUCAUAUUAUCAAUGUGGUAUGCAUAUUGUACCUAAUUGCCUGUAUUUUUCCUUCCUUCUUGUUCCGUUGAGAUGCAGCUCGAUUGGUUGAGAGACCAUGAAUAACCUUGGGAGCGCUCUAGAAAAAUUAAGCGUAAAUCGCAUAUGCCGAUCGAUGUAGAUCUUAAUAAAAACUGUAACAACUAUCUUACCAUGGACUACCUCAGUUCCUCCAGAUCCCUCCCAAGCCCUAUUUGAUUGCUAUAAGGCAGCACUGUGGGUAUAAUCUUCCAUGUCGUACUUGUAUCCUCUAAAAUUAUCAUGGUUUGUUUUACGAGAAUUCAAAGUCCCAAGUUUCUU
rnacentral:lncRNA from 1 species